CAAGAUUGGAGGCAUUGCCUGCCCAGUGACAACUGUUUAACGGCCGCGGUAUCCUGACCGUGCAAAGGUAGCAUAAUCAUUUGUUCUCUAAAUAAGGACUUGUAUGAAUGGCCGCACGAGGGUUUUACUGUCUCUUACUUCCAAUCAGUGAAAUUGACCUUCCCGUGAAGAGGCGGGAAUGCACAAAUAAGACGAGAAGACCCUAUGGAGCUUUAACUAACCAACCCAAAGAGAAUAGAUUUAACCAUUAAGGAAUAACAACAAUCUCCAUGAGUUGGUAGUUUCGGUUGGGGUGACCUCGGAGAAUAAAAAAUCCUCCGAGCGAUUUUAAAGACUAGACCCACAAGUCAAAUCACUCUAUCGCUCAUUGAUCCAAAAACUUGAUCAACGGAACAAGUUACCCUAGGGAUAACAGCGCAAUCCUAUUCAAGAGUCCAUAUCGACAAUAGGGUUUACGACCUCGAUGUUGGAUCAGGACAUCCUGAUGGUGCAACCGCUAUCAAAGGUUCGUUUGUUCAACGAUUAAAGUCCUACGUGAUCUGAGGUCAGACCGGAA
rnacentral:rRNA from 1 species